rnacentral:lncRNA from 1 species
GUCUUAAUGGAAUAAACAUGUCAGAAAUUAAUGUAAUGACAUUUAGUAAAUGGAUUUCUAUAUCGUCCAACAUAUUAUUUACAAUGGAGGAGCGCCAAAAUGGCUGCACGGUGGCUUCAAUACAGCCCCCCCCCUGUCAGCCAUCCAGGGUUUAUACACAUCAUUAAGGAGAGACAAAAUGGCUGCAAUAGAGCACCCCCCUGUCAGCCAUCCAGGGUUUAUACACAUCAUUAAGGAGAGCCAAAAUGGCUUCAAUACAGCACCCCCCUGUCAGCCAUCCAGGGUUUAUACACAUCAUUAAGGAGAGCCAAAAUGGCUGCAAUACAGCACCCCCUGUCAGCCAUCCAGGGUUUAUACACAUCAUUAAGGAGAGCCAAAAUGGCUGCACGGUGGCUUCAAUACAGCACCCCCCUGUCAGCCAUCCAGGGUUUAUACACAUCAUUAAGGAGAGCCAAAAUGGCUUCAAUACAGCACCCCCCUGUCAGCCAUCCAGGGUUUAUACACAUCAUUAAGGAGAGCCAAAAUGGCUGCAAUACAGCACCCCCCUGUCAGCCAUCCAGGGUUUAUACACAUCAUUAAGGAGAGCCAAAAUGGCUGCAAUACAACACCCACCUGUCAGCCAUCCAGGGUUUAUACACAUCAUUAAGGAGAGCCAAAAUGGCUGCACGGUGGCUUCAAUACAGCACCCCCCUGUCAGCCAUCCAGGGUUUAUACACAUCAUUAAGGAGAGCCAAAAUGGCUGCAAUACAGCCCCCCCCCUGUCAGCCAUCCAGGGUUUAUACACAUCAUUAAGGAGAGCCAAAAUGGCUGCACGGUGGCUUCAAUACCAUCAACAAAACACCAAAUGAUGGAAUUUCCUCGUGGAAGAAUGGCGUCUCAUCCCUCCGAUAGACUUCCCAGACACUUGUAGAAUCGAUGUCAAGGUGUAUUAAAGCUGUUCUGGUUGGUGGAGGACCCGACGUCCUAUUAAAACACUGUUGGAGUUUCCUUUAUUCUCCCAGUUACCUGGUGGUUGGUGGAGGACCUGGAGUUUCCUUUAUUCUGCCAGUUACCUGGUGGACGACCCGACCUCCUAUUAAAACACUGUUGGAGUUUCCUUUAUUCUGCCAGUUACCUGGUGGACGACCCGACCUCUUAUUAAAACACUGUUGGAGUUUCCUUUAUUCUGCCAGUUACCUGGUGGACGACCCGACCUCCUAUUAAAACACUAUGUUGGAGUUUCCUUUAUUCUGCCAGUUACCUGGUGGACGACCCGACCUCCUAUUAAAACACUAUGUUGGAGUUUCCUUUAUUCUGCCAGUUACCUGGUGGUUGGUGGACCUGGAGUUUCCUUUAUUCUGCCAGUUACCUGGUGGACGACCCGACCUCCUAUUAAAACACUGUUGGUGUUUCCUUUAUUCUGCCAGUUACCUGGUGGUUGGUGGAGGACCUGGAGUUUCCUUUAUUCUGCCAGUUACCUGGUGGACGACCCGACGUCCUAUUAAAACACUGUUGGAGUUUCCUUUAUUCUGCCAGUUACCUGGUGGACGACCCGACCUCCUAUUAAAACACUGUUGGAGUUUCCUUUAUUCUGCCAGUUACCUGGUGGUUGGUGGACCUGGAGUUUCCUUUAUUCUGCCAGUUACCUGGUGGACGACCCGACCUAUUAAAACACUAUGUUGGAGUUUCCUUUAUUCUGGCAGUUACCUGGUGGUUGGUGGAGGACCUGGAGUUUCCUUUAUUCUGCCAGUUACCUCCUAUUAAAACACUUUAUGUUGCUGUUUCCUUCACAAGGUUCAUUUCCAUCUUGCUGUUUGUUGAAAGGUCAAGAUGUUUGGAUGUGUAUUUUAUUCUUCUGAUUGUUACAGAUUGGCUAAAUGCAGACAAAAUGCAACCCAAAACAGUCUUACCACAGUGUGCUUAUUGUGUGUGUGUGUGUGUGUGUGUGUGUGUGUGUGCGUGUGCUUAUUGUGUGUGUGUGUGUGUUGCGUCAGGUCUGCUUUCACCUAGUUAUGUAUAGCUGUUGUGUUUCAAUGUCAAAGUAUUAUUCAGGUCCUGAGGGCCAAAACAUUUCUGCUUUCUCUUCCUACCUGAUGUCCCCAGGUCUGAAUGAGUCUCUCUACCUGAUGUCCCCAGGUCUGAAUGAGUCUCUCUACCUGAUGUCCCCAGGUCUGAAUGAGUCUCAACCUGUUGUCCCCAGGUCUGAAUGAGUCUCGGGUCUGAACGAGUCUCGGAUUACAGGUAGAGGAUGAGAACCAGUAGUGUUUCGUCCCUCCAGGACCAGAAAGAAAUAGCCCUUGGCUAGAUUCAAUCUGAUCCGCAGAAGAUCCGGGUUAUAGUUCACCUUUAAAAAAACCAAAAAGGUAAUUUAGGAUUGAGCCUACUGUUAACGUGGAAACUUUACCUUUUAAUAAGGUGCACAGCCGAAAAGAGGAGAUCGGAUUUGAAUCUAGGAACAGCUUCCUCCCUCCAGUCCUAACGAGGGGUGAGAGAUAUAUAUAUAUAUAUGGGUCCCGUGUGGCUCAGUUGGUAGAGCAUGGGUGUUUGCAACGCCAGGGUUGUGGGUUCGAUUCCCACGGGGGACCAAUACGGGGGGGGGAAAUGUCUGAAAUGUAUGCAUUCACUACUGUAAGUCGCUCUGGAUAAGAGCGUCUGCUAAAAUGACUAAAAUGUAAAUGUUAAUAACUGAUCUAGGAUCAGUUUCCUCCCUCCAGUCCUAACAGGUCACCAUUAGAGAGGUGAUAUAUAUAUAUAUAUAACUGAUCUAGGACCAGUCCUAACAGGUCACCAUUAGAGAGGUGAUAUAUAUAUAUAUAUGACUGAUCUAGGAUCAGUCCUAACGGGUCACCAUUAGAGAGGUGAUAUAUAUAUAUAUAUAUAUAACUGAUCUAGGACCAGUGUUGAACAGGUCACCAUUAGAGAGGUGAUAUAUAUAUAUAUAUAUAUAUAACUGAUCUAGGACCAGUGUUAAACAGAGCUGAAUGUCUGUCUGGUUCAUACCAUUUAUGAUGCUGAUGUAUUGUUAUUAUAAUGACAUUAAAUUAUUGAAUGUUUCUGUCG